AACAAACGCUGGCGGCGUGCCUAACACAUGCAAGUCGUACGAGAAAGGGUCCUUCGGGACCUGAGUAAAGUGGCGCACGGGUGAGUAACGCGUGGAUAAUCUACCCUUCAGUUGGGAACAACUCAUCGAAAGGUGGGCUAAUACCGAAUAAUACUGCGAGACUUUGGUCGAGCAGCCAAAGAGAGCCUCUGCUUGCAAGCCCUCGCUGAAGGAUGAGUCCGCGUACCAUUAGCUUGUUGGUAGGGUAAUGGCCUACCAAGGCUGCGAUGGUUAGCUGGUCUGAGAGGAUGAUCAGCCACACUGGAACUGAGACACGGUCCAGACUCCUACGGGUGGCUG
rnacentral:rRNA from 1 species